rnacentral:lncRNA from 1 species
GGCACACGGAGAAAAACCUUCUAGAGUAAGGCUUGUUGGUUGUAAGAUUCUUUGUAGCCUUCUCUCAGCCUACACAAAUAAUAGCUAGUUCUUCACUAUUAAAACAUCUCCAAAAGUUUGCUAUCUCUACCUGGCAUCAAUAAAUUUUUGAUAAAACAUGAAAAAACAUUCACCAACAAUUUGGCAUCUCAACUUGGUAAAAAUAGGAAGUUGGCAUAUUUCGGCCUUGUUUAGAGCAUCUCCAACAAUUUGCUAAAAAACUUUUGCCAAAUCUUAUGUUUUGACAAGUUGCUAAAAGAUUUGGCAAGUAAAAUAAUUUGUCAUCUCCAACAAGUUGCCAAUUGAACUUGCCAAAUUAUAAAAAAAAACAGGCCCACCACUAAACUACCAACUACCAAAUUGAUGGAUCCAUCCUUCCUCCGCGCCCUUUGUCUGCUCGCAAGGGUUCUGUUGUCCGUCGCGCCGCCGUGUCGUACAGCGCACGGCCAGCCACCUCUUCCUUCCACGGUGUACAAGUGACCAAGCCAGCCAUCUCCAAGAUCUCCUCCUCCACGAUCAGCUAUCAGUACCAGCACAUGUCAUCGCUAUCGAGCAGCACCACAGCACCUCUGCAGCAACAAGUAGGCCGGCAGGUUUCGAGGCAACACAAACUUUUCUGUCAAUUCCUGCUGGUGACAAGACAGGGAGCAGCUCAACAUGGGCCUUGUUUAGUUCCGAAAAGUGAAAAGUUUUCGGUACUGUAGCACUUUCGUUUGUUUGUGAAAAAUAUUAUCUAAUCAUAGACUAACUAGGAUUAAAAGAUUCGUCUCGUGAUUUACAGCUAAACUGUAUAAUUAGUUUUUGUUUUCGUCUAUAUUUAAUGUUUCAUGCAUGUGCCACAAGAUUCGAUGUGACGGAAAAUCUUGAAAAUUUUUUGAUUUUCAGGGUGAACUAAACAAGGCCAUAGAAUAUGCAAGCGAAUCUUGGCAGCAGCUCGGCAGGGAGUACGAGCCAGAACUUUCACCUGGCACGCGGGAAGGGAAGCGAAGACGAGGAAUCACACGAUGGCAAGCGCGUCCGCGCGGCGGAAAUCUACACGCGCGGCUGAGAAAAUUGGCAAGUGAAACAAUUUGACAAGUGGGAAUACUAAACUGUUGGAGCAAAUUUUUACCUCUUUUGCUAAAUUUUUUUGGGAUGACAAGUGCUUUAGCAAACUGUUAGAGAUGCUCUUACAUGCAUUUUUUUUUGAUUUUGACACUAUAGCACUUUCGUUUGUAUUUGACAAACACUAUCCAAUCAUAGAAUAACUAGGUUUAAAAGAUUCGUCUCACGGUUUAUAGGUAAAUUGUACAAUUAGUUAUUUUUUUAUCUAUAUUUAAUGCUCCUUGUACGUACCGCAAGAUUCGAUGUGAUGGAAAAUUUUGUAAACUUUUAAAUUUUAACAUGCCCAAAGUUCUCCCAGCCUAUAAAGAUACACGCGCCUAUCGGACUUGGCAUCGGAGGUUGGACGCAACCGCCUCUUCCCACGCCCCGCGCGUCCUCUUCGCGCGCUCCUUUGGACAGCUGCUGCAUCUGCUCUAAUUGCACAGCUCGUCCUCCUGCUGCUGUGGCCUUGUUUAGUUCACACUAAAAACCAAAAACUUUUCAAAAUUUUCUGUUAUAUCGAAUUUUACGUCACAUACAUAGAAUAUUAAAUAUAGAUGAGAACUAAAACUAAUAGCACAAUUUGUCUGUAAAUUACGAGACGAAUCUUUUAAACCUAGUUACUUUAUGAUUAGAUAAUGUUUGUCAAGUAAAAACGAAAAUAUUAUAGUGUCAAAAUCCAAAAACUUUUUGAAUCUAAAUAAGGCCCGCGUUGAAAAUGACAUAGAAUUGAUUGUACUGUUGCUGGGCACUGCUGCUCACUGCACGACUCCUCGUUCUGUUAAUGAUUUUGUGAAAAUUGAUUACACCGCUAUUGAGCACUGCUGAUUGCUGAGCACUGCCGCUCUCAAAUGAUUUUGUGGAAACAGUACAUUUGAAAUAAAAUUAUUUUGUGGGUCUUUUUUUUUAAAUUUUGCCAAUUCAAAAUUGCCAAAUUCUUAGAAAUAAGAUGAUCUUUUACUUGGCAUAUAUUUUUAGGAGUUGGCAAAUCAUAUCACAGAGUUUCUUCGAUCUUGUGUCGAAGCCGGCUAUAAGCUUGCAGCCUUCUUCUUAUUUUUCUCUUUUUUUUUCUUUUUUGUUCUCUUUUUCCUCGUUUUUGUCCUCCAUUUCAGUAUUUAGCCAAUUUACAAACUGUUAUUAUACUUGCUCUUUUAUCUCCUACUCCCUCCGUCCCUGAAAGCUGCAAUUUCUAGAGUUUUUCUAAGUCAAUUUUUUACAACUUUGACCAAAUUUAUAGAAAAAAAUGCUAAGAUUUAUAGUACCAAAUUAAUACCAUUAAAUUUAUUAUAGAAUAUAUUUUUGAAAGAUACUUAUUUUAUGUUAUAGAUAUUGAUACUCUUUUCUAUAAAGUUGGUCAAAGUUAGAAAAGUUUGACUCACAUGGAUUCUAGGAGUUGAAGCUUUUGGGGACGGAC